rnacentral:tRNA from 1 species
CUGGCGGUAGCUUAUACAUAAAGCCGUCGAUUUACACCCGACUAAAGCCCACUAAAGGGCCCGACAGA